GACGAACGCUGGCGGCGUGCUUAACACAUGCAAGUCGAACGCUGAAGCUCAGCUUUUGUUGGGUGGAUGAGUGGCGAACGGGUGAGUAACACGUGAGUAACCUGCCUCCUUCUUUGGGAUAACGCCCGGAAACGGGUGCUAAUACUGGAUAUUCACUGGUCUUCGCAUGGGGGUUGGUGGAAAGGGUUUUUCUGGUGGGGGAUGGGCUCGCGGCCUAUCAGCUUGUUGGUGGGGUGAUGGCCUACCAAGGCUUUGACGGGUAGCCGGCCUGAGAGGGUGACCGGUAACAUUGGGACGGAGAUACGGCCCAGAGUCGUACGGGAGGCGGCAGUGGGGAAUAUUGCACAAGGGGCGCAAGCCUGAUGCAGCGGCGCCGCGUGAGGGAUGGGGGCCUUCGGGUUGUGAACCUCUUUCGCUCAUGGUCAAGCCGCAACAAUGGUUGUGGUGAGGGUAGUGGGUAAAGAAGCGCCGGCUAACUACGUG
rnacentral:rRNA from 1 species